CAAUGACGUGGUGGAUUCCUCCAAGUGCUACCAGACCAUCUGUGUGGACAAUUCCACCAAACUAGAACUGAGGUGUGACGAGGGACCAUCGGGACCACACCACUGCAACGAAGAUGAAGAUUACAUCCCCCCCUCGGACGACGCGGAGGCGGAGGGACAGAACUGCUGUGGAAGGUGUGAGAAGAAGGCCUGCCGAUCAGAAGAACUCUGUCUCACUGUCAACCUCACUAAGACCGACUCGUCGUACUGUGGAGAACGGAACGUCACGAUCAACAAGUGUUCCGGAAGCUGCGGACCCUCGGGAGCAUCGCCUAUGUCUCUCGGAGACCCUUCAGUCGACCCGGGUGACCUCUACUUCAGCAUCCAGGCUGGAAAGGAGCAGUGGACUCUGAAGACAGAGUGCAAGUGUUGUACUGGCGACAUGGUUCUGAUAAAGAGGAAGAUAUCAUGUGACGAUGGAUCCAUGGAGACGUUCUCGGUUCCGACUGCCACUAAUUGCGAGUGUCGCGACUGUGACCCAGGGACUAAGGGUAGUCCUGUUUGAGAGUCUCCUAUACAAUCUGAAGUAUCGACGAAAAACGGACACGACAAUUUUGACUCAACGGACGACAAUGCCAAUGCGAACAGAAUGAUGCGAGAGCAGAUUUAGUUCAACUUGUUCUUCAUUUUAUGAGGAAUUAAAGAGGAACGUACAAAUUACAAAUCUGCUGGCGCAAACAUUCUGUUACAAAAGUCACUCAAUUGUCUUUGCAGAAAACUAGAUCGACAAAUGGCCUGCUUCACAUUAAAUGGCGAAAGAAGGUUGCGGACUUGAAAUGGAUCACUCACUUGGGAAUAGGGUUAAAUUG